CUUKGCGGGWUGAMGAUGGGGAUGCGUUCCAUUAGAUAGUAGGCGGGGUAACGGCCCACCUAGUCAACGAUGGAUAGGGGUUCUGAGAGGAAGGUCCCCCACAUUGGAACUGASACACGGKCCAAACUCCUACGGGAGGCAGCAGUGAGGAAUAUUGGUCAAUGGGCGAUGGCCUGAACCAGCCAAGUAGCGUGAAGGAUGACUGCCCUAUGGGUUGUAAACUUCUUUUAUAAAGGAAUAAAGUCGGGUAUGCAUACCCGUUUGCAUGUACUUUAUGAAUAAGGAUCGGCUAACUCCGUGCCAGCAGCCGCGGUAAUACGGAGGAUCCGAGCGUUAUCCGGAUUUAUUGGGUUUAAAGGGAGCGUAGAUGGAUGUUUAAGUCAGUUGUGAAAGUUUGCGGCUCAACCGUAAAAUUGCAGUUGAUACUGGAUGUCUUGWKUGYWKUUGAGGCAGGCGGAAUUCGUGGUGUAGCGGUGAAAUGCUUAGAUAUCACGAAGAACUCCGAUUUGAUUUUUUUUUUUUUKG
rnacentral:rRNA from 1 species